UCCUGCUGAGAGGUGGGAGUGCUCGAAAGAGAACCUGAACACAGGUGCUGCAUGGCUGUCGUCAGCUCGUGUCGUGAGAUGUUGGGUUAAGUCCCGCAACGAGCGCAACCCUUGUCAUUAGUUGCCAUCAUUCAGUUGGGCACUCUAAUGAGACUGCCGGUGACAAACCGGAGGAAGGUGGGGAUGACGUCAAGUCCUCAUGGCCCUUAUGGGUAGGGCUUCACACGUCAUACAAUGGUCGGUACAGAGGGUUGCCAAGCCGCGAGGUGGAGCCAAUCCCAGAAAGCCGAUCGUAGUCCGGAUCGGAGUCUGCAACUCGACUCCGUGAAGUCGGAAUCGCUAGUAAUCGUGGAUCAGCAUGCCACGGUGAAUACGUUCCCGGGUCUUGUACACACCGCCCGUCACACCAUGGGAGUGGGUUUCACCAGAAGUAGGUAGCCUAACCGCAAGGAGGGCGCUUACCACGGUGGGAUUCAUGACUGGGGUGAAGUCGUAACAAGGUAGCCGUAGGGGAACCUGCGGCUGGAUCACCUCCUUUAUG
rnacentral:rRNA from 1 species